AGACAACUUCCGCCCUUACAGCUCCUAAAUGUUUUCUUCGUUCUCCGUUCGAUUGGGGUAUUUUUUUUUUCUAUGCAGCAUUGGACCAUCGCGGGCUCGCUUCGCUCACCACGCAUCGGGCGCGGUGUCUCGCUUCGCUCGCCACACUUUUCUAUUCCAAAUAGAUUGUGACAUGGACCCAGGGGGUUAUGGGAAAGGUUCUCUGCACGAAGAAAAUCUAGACGCUACCGAUCUGAAGUGCCAGCAGCAGCCACCCGUGCACAGUGACCGGGACCUUAGAGUGUUCUAGUCUCGCCAAGACCCAUUGCCUGACACAUGCAGAACAUUGCUUUGUUUGGGGAAAAGACAAGCAGAUCAUCUCUUCAGCCGUUUGAGGCUGGAGACAUAAGUACUGUCUCUUACCAAUGUGACUCUCUCCCCCUGUCCUUAUCUCUUUGCCUGGGAAUGCUGCGUGUGAAUAUUUCAUGCCUGUGACUGACAGAUCUGUAUGACCAGUCUAUGGGAUGGCGCCCAGGAAGAGAAAAACAUGCUUCCCAGGUCCCCAAGAGGCGGUGACUCAUCUGCCGGCUUUACAUCUGAAUCGUAAAGAUUAUUUCGAAACAAUUGGAGAACAAUAGCAUGAUAGAAAACGUCUGCAAAUAUACAACAACAGCACAUUGCAAUGCAGCAC